rnacentral:rRNA from 1 species
UACGGAGGGGGCAAGCGUUAUUCGGAAUUAUUGGGCGUAAAGGGCGCGUAGGCGGCUAGAUGUGUCAAAGGUGAAAUCCCUCGGCUCAACUGAGGAACUGCCUUUGAAACUGUCUGGCUUGAGGCCGGGAGAGGGUAGCGGAAUUCCCAGUGUAGCGGUGAAAUGCGUAGAUAUCUGGAGGAACACCGGUGGCGAAGGCGGCAUCCUGGACCAACACUGACACUGAGGAGCGAAAGCCAGGGGAGCAAACGGG